rfam:Flavobacterium hercynium strain DSM 18292 43415_contig_49, whole genome shotgun sequence.
CCCUAGCCCCGAUGGAAGUGGAAAUCCUUUGGCUUUUUUCUUUAAAAAGACAAAGAUUACUUCACCUAGCUUUUAUUUUAGUCGGAGUUCAGUGAACUUCGUUUGUAGCGGACAGCGGGAAAUAGC